UCCCAGACUCCUACGGGAGGCAGCAGUGAGGAAUAUUGGUCAAUGGGCGGGAGCCUGAACCAGCCAAGCCGCGUGAGGGAAGAAGGUACAGCGUAUCGUAAACCUCUUUUGUCAGGGAACAAAGGCGGGGACUAGUCCCCGGAUGAGGGUACCUGAAGAAAAAGCAUCGGCUAACUCCGUGCCAGCAGCCGCGGUAAUACGGAGGAUGCGAGCGUUAUCCGGAUUUACUGGGCGUAAAGGGCGCGUAGGUGGGCGCUUAAGUCAGGUGUGAAAACUCCGGGCGCAACCUGGAGACUGCACUUGAAACUGGGUGUCUUGAGGGCAGGAGAGGAAAGUGGAAUUCCUAGUGUAGCCGUGAAAUGCGUAGAUAUUAGGAGGAACACCAGUGGCGAAGGCGACGUUCUGGACUGUACCUGACGCUGAGGCGCGAAAGCGUGGGUAGCGAACGGGAUUAGAUACCCCGGUAAAU
rnacentral:rRNA from 1 species